UUUAAAGUUUUAUUUUAAUAAAAAUAAUUAUUUUUUUUAUUAGUUUGUAUGAAUAAAUAAGUUUUAUUAUAGAGUAUUAGUAUCGAGAGAGAAUUAUAUUUUUAAAUUAAAAGAAAGAUUAAUUUUUUGUACCUUGUGUAUCAGGGUUUAUUAAAUAAAAUUUAUUUAUUUUAAAUUUCUCGAAUUUAAAAGAGCUAUAAAUAUAUAUUUUUUAUUGUAAAAUAAAUAUUGUUAAUAUUUUUAUAGAAGUGAUAUGCUAUUCGAUUUUAAAUAUAUCUAGUUUUUUAAGAAAAAAAUUUAAUUUUAUUUUUAUUUAACAAUAAAUUAAUUUUUUAAUUUUUUGUUAUUAAAAUUUUAUAUUAUAGGGGAUGAGCUUUAUAGUAGAUUUAUAUAAUUUAUAUAAAAAUUUUUAGUAUGUAGGAUUAUUAGUUUCCAUCUUUAUUAGUGUUUUAUAGCUAACUAAAAUUAAUUUAAAAUUUAUAUAUUUUUAAUUUAUAUUUUUUAUUAAAAUAUAAAAUUUAAUUUAUUUUAUUUUAGGAAUAAUGAUAAAAUUAGUAUAAUUUAAUGUUUACUUUAUAUAAUUAUAUUUUAGGUUAAGUAAAGGAACUCGGCAAAUAUAUUUUUCACCUGUUUAAUAAAAACAUGUCCUUUUGAUUAUAAUUUAAGGUCUAGCCUGCCCAAUGAUGUAGAGUUAAAUGGCCGCGGUAUUUUGACCGUGCAAAGGUAGCAUAAUCAUUAGUUUUUUAAUUGAAAGCUGGUAUGAAAGGUUGGAUGAGAAAAUAACUGUCUCUAUUUAAGUUUUAUAGAAUUUUAUUUUUAAGUAAAAAAGCUUAAAUUUAUAUUGAAGACGAGAAGACCCUAUAGAGUUUUAUAUUUAUUUUAAAUAGGAAGUUUUAGUAUUAAGUUUUUUUUAUUUAGGAUAAUUAUUUGGUUGGGGUGAUUGAAAAAUUUAAUAAACUUUUUUUUUAUUUUAUCAUUGAUUUAUGAGUGUAUGAUCCUUAUUUUAAGAUUAAAAGAAUAAAUUACCUUAGGGAUAACAGCGUAAUUUUUUUUGAGAGUUCAAAUCGAAAAAAAAGGUUGCGACCUCGAUGUUGGAUUAAAAUUUAUUUUUGGUGUAGAAGCUAAAAUAUUGGGUCUGUUCGACCUUUAAAAUUUUACAUGAUCUGAGUUUAAACCGGUGUGAGCCAGGUUGGUUUCUAUCUCAAUAAAGAUAAUAUAUUUUAGUACGAAAGGACCAAAUAUAUGGUUUAAAAUUUUUUUAAAUUUGAAUAAUA
rnacentral:rRNA from 1 species